AAAUGUAGUACUCCCUCCGUCCCUUUUUAAGUGUCCUGCUUCGUAACUCCAACUUAUUAAAAAGACAUCAUCAUUACACCUUUCACAUAAACUUUUUCCUCCACUUUUUCUACUUACCCAUCAUCAUUACACUUUUUACUCACUAACUUUUCAAAAUAAAAUCUACUUUUAGGGACAAAAUAGACAAUACACCAACUUUUACCCCUUAACUUUACAAAAUGGACACUUAUUAAGGGACAACCCAAAAUGGAAUACUGGACACAAAAAAAGGGACGGAGGGAGUAUAUAAAAACAAAUUUUUCGAGUCUGUUCGUUUUGAGCCUAAUUUUUGUGGUUUUUCGAUUAGUAUGAAAAGUAAAAAAUUACUAUGACUUUUACCCAAAUAUUUUUUGAAAUAUCCAAGAUAAAGCCGGCAUUUUGGGGUUUUUUUUUUUUGGGAUAUUUGGACUUUAUCUUGGAUAUUUUCAUAAAUAUUUGGGUAUAAUUUUUUAUUUUUUCAAUUCUUCUCAUCUAGACGAAUCAAUAAUCCACAAAAGUUUAUUAUAAAAUAACAAAAGCGAAAAAAAUUCGAAUAAGAACAAAAACAAAAAAAGCACAAAUUCCCAAUCAGUUAAGAUGAGAAUCAAACCGUGUGGGGUUGCUCAAUUGCUAAAAGUCUUCCGCACUAUGAAUUAAGGAGUUGAUUUUCGCACCCCAAAUUGUCAACUUUGGAGACGCCAGACACGCACAUUUAAGAUGGUUCACUUCCACCACAAAUUUCCAAUAAGUUAAGAUGGGAAUCAAACCAUGUGGGGUUGCUCAAUUGCUAAAAGUCUUUAGCACUAUGAAUUAAGGAGUUGAUUUUCGCACCCCAACUUGUCAACUUUGGAGACGCUGGACGCGCACAAUUUAGAUGGUUCACUUCCACCACAAAUUUCCAAUCAGUUAAGAUGGGAAUCAAACCGUGUGGGUUGCUCAAUAUAUUGCUAAAAGUCUUCAGCACUAUGAAUUAAGGAGUUGAUUUUCGCACCCCAAAUUAUCAACUUUGGGGAGGCUGGACGCGCACAUUUAAGAUGGUUCACUUCCACCACAAAUUCCCAAUCAGGAGGGGACACAGUACAAUAAGAGACGUUUCUUCACAUUUGAACAUGCAGCAGUUGCCCUAUUUAUAGAGUACUGAACAGGAUAAAGGAGAGCAAAAAGGGGGACCAUCAGUCGCCUCAAAACGACGCAGUUUUGCGUUGUCUCGAGUCCCAGUUAAAUGGGAAUCAAACCGUGUGGGGUUGCUCAUAAAGUCUUCAGCACAAGGAGUUGAUUUUCACACCUCCAAAUUGUCAACUUUGGAGAGUGCGAAAAUUAAUAUGGAGCUUAUCUUCUUUCUCAACUAUAAAUACCCUCCAAAUCCAAAAACAGACGCACAAAUCAGUGGAGAAAGAGGGAGAGGAGAGCAAAAGCACAAUGGUGAUUUAGAGAGAGAAACUUAGGUGGAUUUCGGUUUUUCACACACCCGAACGCCAAUUCGAGAUAUACCAGCUUUAGCACGAGCACGAGCACCUCCAAACCAAUCCCCAAUCACCCGAAGUCAGCCCUGGGGUUCUCGGAGCCGUUGUCUUCUCGGUUUAGCCGAAAAUCCAAAAAUCGCGUUUUAAGCUUUUCGGUCGGAAUCGAGGGUGAAAGGAUUUACAUAUUCUGAGGAAAUACUCAAAAACUUGACGAGAACGACUUUCUCAAGUCUAUCAACACUAGAGGAUGGAACCCGCUGUGACCACGGCAAUCAUUGCUGCAGCUGCAACAAUUGUUGUAGCCUAUGUGACAGCUAGAUAUACAGCUAAAUAUACAGCUAAAUAUAUGGCUAAAUACAGUUGAAAAGAUGGAAGAUCGAUUUCAGCGAUUGGUGGAUGAAAUGGAAGCUAAGAAAAAGGCCUAUUGAAAAAUGAAGUGCCUUUCAGAUGUGAAUGGCUCCGUAAUCUGAAACUUUUACCACUUUUCUGCUCCUCUAUUUUAUCUUGCUUCUAUGUGAAAUUGUUGCCAGUAAGAACCAUAAUUACAUGUAAUUGGAAUAAAUUUGCACGUUGUGUUUUCAUUCAA